GCGUAAAGAGCUCGUAGGUGGUUUGUCGCGUUGUUCGUGAAAACUCACAGCUUAACUGUGGGCGUGCGGGCGAUACGGGCAGACUAGAGUACUGCAGGGGAGACUGGAAUUCCUGGUGUAGCGGUGGAAUGCGCAGAUAUCAGGAGGGACACCGGUGGCGAAGGCGGGUCUCUGGGCAGUAACUGACGCUGAGGAGCGAAAGCGUGGGGAGCGAACAGGAUUAGAUACCCUGGUAGUCCACGCCGUAAACGGUGGGUACUAGGUGUGGGUUCCUUCCUUGGGAUCCGUGCCGUAGCUAACGCAUUAAGUACCCCGCCUGGGGAGUACGGCCGCAAGGCUAAAACUCAAAGGAAUUGACGGGGGCCCGCACAAGCGGCGGAGCAUGUGGAUUAAUUCGAUGCAACGCGAAGAACCUUACCUGGGUUUGACAUGCACAGGACGCCGGCAGAGAUGUCGGUUCCCUUGUGGCCUGUGUGCAGGUGGUGCAUGGCUGCCGUCAGCUCGUGUCGUGAGAUGUUGGGUUAAGUCCCGCAACGAGCGCAACCCUUGUCCUAUGUUGCCAGCGGGUUAUGCCGGGGACUCGUAGGAGACUGCCGGGGUCAACUCGGAGGAAGGUGGGGAUGACGUCAAGUCAUCAUGCCCCUUAUGUCCAGGGCUUCACACAUGCUACAAUGGCCGGUACAAAGGGCUGCGAUGCCGUGAGGUGGAGCGAAUCCUUUCAAAGCCGGUCUCAGUUCGGAUCGGGGUCUGCAACUCGACCCCGUGAAGUCGGAGUCGCUAG
rnacentral:rRNA from 1 species